rnacentral:rRNA from 1 species
UUUUGCAUAUCCAAAAAGCGGAGGAAAAGAAACCAACAGGGAUUGCCUCAGUAACGGCGAGUGAAGCGGCAAAAGCUCAAAUUUGAAAUCCCCCGGGAAUUGUAAUUUGAAGAGAUUUGGGUCCGGCCGGCAGGGGUUAAGUCCACUGGAAAGUGGCGCCACAGAGGGUGACAGCCCCGUGAACCCCCUCAACGCCUUCAUCCCAGAUCUCCAAGAGUCGAGUUGUUUGGGAAUGCAGCUCUAAGUGGGUGGUAAAUUCCAUCUAAAGCUAAAUACCGGCGAGAGACCGAUAGCGAACAAGUACAGUGAUGGAAAGAUGAAAAGCACUUUGAAAAGAGAGUGAAAAAGUACGUGAAAUUGUUGAAAGGGAAGGGCUUGCAAGCAGACACUUAACUGGGCCAGCAUCGGGGCGGCGGGGAGCAAAACCACCGGGGAAUGUACCUUUGAGGGAUUAUAAACCCCCGGGUCCUCUACUCUCCACAGCUCACCCCGAGGCCUGCAAUCUAAUGAUGACUGGCGAAUACCGAG